GCCUGGGUGGCUCAGUCAGUUAAGCAUCUGACUUCAGCUCAGGUCAUGAUCUUGGGGUCCGUGGGUUCAAGCCCCAUGUUGGGCU
rnacentral:tRNA from 1 species